rnacentral:rRNA from 1 species
CCUACGGGAGGCAGCAGUGGGGAAUAUUGGGCAAUGGGCGAAAGCCUGACCCAGCAACGCCGCGUGAAGGAAGAAGGCUCUCGGGUUGUAAACUUCUUUUGAUAGGGAAGAGCAGAAGACGGUACCUGUCGAAUAAGCCACGGCUAACUACGUGCCAGCAGCCGCGGUAAUACGUAGGUGGCAAGCGUUGUCCGGAUUUACUGGGGGUAAAGGGCGUGUAGCCGGGCUGACAAGUCAGAUGUGAAAUCCGGGGGCUCAACCCCCGAACUGCAUUUGAAACUGUUGGUCUUGAGUAUCGGAGGGGCAGGCGGAAUUCCGAGGGGAGCGGUGAAAAGGGUAGAUAUUAGGAAGAACACCAGUGGCGAAGGCGGCCUGCUGGACGACAACUGACGGUGAGGCGCGAAAGCGUGGGGAGCAAACAGGAUUAGAUACCCUAGUAGUC